CUGAUUUGAGUUUUGCUUUUGUCAUCUGGUCAAAGAGACCAACCAAAGGGCAAGUCGGGACAUCCCAGGUUGAGCAAAGACCAGUGUGUCUAUUGUAAAAAAGGCAUAGGAAGUGAGAUUGCUCAACGUUUUCUAGACAGGGAAAGGAAGGCCACAUUGAAACUUCUGGGAAACAGAUGGUCAUUCAAGGGGAAGGAUGGGACAAGGAUAGUGAAUGAAGGGACCCAGUGCUUAGAGCCAUAUCAAUGGCCCCUUUUAGAAUAGCCCCACAAAAACCCCACAUGCAUUUAAUGUGGAGUCUGGGUUGAUAAACUAUUUGGUAAAUACUGGAGAAAUCUAUGCGGUCUUAAAUAGUAACUGACUUCAUUAAGUCCUUCUACUCUGUCUAUGGUUAGCGUCACUGGUUGGGUACAACAGUGUCCUCUUACAGCCACUGUAAUGUAAAUGAGGUAAACAGAAGUUGAGACAUAGUUUUUUACACAUGCCUGAUUGUCCAAUUCCUCUUGUUCUGCAAGAUGUUUUAUAAAAAGCAAUUUAAAUGCUCAAAUAACUUUCUCAUCUGAGAAAUGCCAAUCACGAUUACAAGAUUGUGCCAUAAGGCUUCAGCUGAUGGUAUUGAAUGCAGAAGACCGUAAGGCGGCCUGGGACCACCUGAGUUGUGUGAACAACCUCUGUUACAAGAACCUGGUAACACCGUAAAGAAGUGAAGAAGGGUGGCAGCACAGAUACAAUUCCUGUCAAAACUGGCCAGAUCCCAUAUUUUCCUAUAAAACAAUCCAGCCCCUUCUUCCACAAAGCCUUGCAGCUUUUUGAAGACCACUGUCUGCUGCACUGUCUUUUGCCCAGCAAAGCAAUAAAGCUAUUCCUUUUUAUCUCAGA